CCUACGGGUGGCAGCAGUGAGGAAUAUUGGUCAAUGGGCGAGAGCCUGAACCAGCCAAGUCGCGUGAGGGAGUACUGCCCUAUGGGUUGUAAACCUCUUUUGUCGGGGAGCAAAAGCCGGACGUGUCCGGCUGUGAGAGUACCCGAAGAAAAAGCAUCGGCUAACUCCGUGCAAGCAGCCGCGGGAAUACGGAGGAUGCGAGCGUUAUCCGGAUUUAUUGGGUUUAAAGGGUGCGCAGGCGGAUUUUUAAGUCAGCGGUAAAAUUGUGGGGCUCAACCCAAUCCAGCCGUUGAUACUGGGGGUCUAGAGUGUGGGUGAGGUAGGCGGAAUGCGUGGUGUAGCGGUGAAAUGCAUAGAUAUCACGCAGAACCCCGAUUGCGAAGGCAGCUUAC
rnacentral:rRNA from 1 species